AUAACAUCCGGAAACGGGUGCGUAAUACCGCAUAGUUUUCUUGAUCGCAUGAUUGAGAAGGAAAGACGGCCUUUGUGCUGUCGCUUAUGGAUGGACCCGCGGCGUAUUAGUUAGUUGGUGAGGUAACGGCUCACCAAGACGAUGAUACGUAGCCGACCUGAGAGGGUGAUCGGCCACAUUGGGACUGAGACACGGCCCAAACUCCUACGGGAGGCAGCAGUAGGGAAUCUUCCGCAAUGGACGAAAGUCUGACGGGAGCAACGCCGCGUGAGUGAAGAAAGGUUUUCGGAUCGUAAAACUCUGUUGUCAGAGAAGAACAAGUUGGAGAGUAACUGCUCCAGCCUUGACGGUAUCUGACCAGAAAGCCACGGCUAACUACGUGCCAGCAGCGGC
rnacentral:rRNA from 1 species